CACGGGGGGAGCAAGCGUUGUUCGGAAUUAUUGGGCGUAAAGGGCGCGUAGGCGGUGCGGUAAGUCACCUGUGAAACCUCUGGGCUUAACUCAGAGCCUGCAGGCGAAACUACCGUGCUGGAGUGUGGGAGAGGUGCAUGGAAUUCCCGGUGUAGCGGUGAAAUGCGUAGAUAUCAAGAGGAACACCUGCGGCGAAGGCGGGUUGCUGGGCCGACACUGACGCUGAAGUGCGAAAGCUAGGGGAGCGAACGGG
rnacentral:rRNA from 1 species